UACGUAGGGGGCGAGCGUUAUCCCGAUUUACUGGGCGUAAAGCGCGUGUAGGCGGCUGGUUAGGUGUGAUGUGAAAUCCUCGGGCUCAACCCGAGAACUGCAUUGCAAACCGGCCUGGCUAGAGUGCAGGAGAGGGAAGCAGAAUUCCAGGUGUAGCGGUGAAAUGCGUAGAUAUCAGGAGGAACACCUGUGGUGUAGACGGCUCUCUGGACCGCAACUGACGCUGAGACACGAAAGCGUGGGUAGCAAACAGG
rnacentral:rRNA from 1 species